AGCGAACGCUGGCGGCAGGCCUAACACAUGCAAGUCGAACGAACUCUUCGGAGUUAGUGGCGGACGGGUGAGUAACACGUGGGAACGUGCCUUUUGGUUCGGAAUAACUCAGGGAAACUUGUGCUAAUACCGAAUGUGCCCUUCGGGGGAAAGAUUUAUCGCCAUUAGAGCGGCCCGCGUCUGAUUAGCUAGUUGGUGAGGUAACGGCUCACCAAGGCGACGAUCAGUAGCUGGUCUGAGAGGAUGACCAGCCACACUGGGACUGAGACACGGCCCAGACUCCUACGGGAGGCAGCAGUGGGGAAUCUUGCGCAACGGGCGAAAGCCUGACGCAGCCAUGCCGCGUGAAUGAUGAAGGUCUUAGGAUUGUAAAAUUCUUUCACCGGGGACGAUAAUGACGGUACCCGGAGAAGAAGCCCCGGCUAACUUCGUG
rnacentral:rRNA from 1 species